AAUUCGUGGAACAGUUAGGUUAAUAGACUGAUUUUUUUUUUUUUUCAGUUUUAAUCCUCCCUCCUCGUAUUAUCCUUACAAUUUUGGUAGAAGCUGUAGCUUCUCUACUCUAGAUUCUGGUAUCAAAUGAUGCCUGAUUUACCAGCAGUUUAGAUAUUUGCUAGAAAUUGCUUAUCUCAUGCUUCCUAGCUCCCAGAGGCUGUGUUUCUAGGACACGUCCAAUCUGGAGGCCACAGAUAUGACCAAGUAGAAAGAGUAUAAUCAGUGCUACGUAUAGGAACAAAAUGUUUUGUCUUCAUUUUGCCCCUCCCACCAAGUCAGUGUGUAAACUUGGGCAACUCCCUUUUUCUCUCUGGGCCUUAUUUCUAUCAGAGUUUACAGUUGAGGGUCUUGACUGAUAGUAACUAUUGUUAUGAAGGCUACAGUUUAUAGAGCACUUACAUGCUGGGCACUUUACAUGUAUGAUUCUGUUUAAUUCUCGUGAUCACCCAGUG
rnacentral:lncRNA from 10 species